rnacentral:rRNA from 1 species
ACUCCUGCGGGAGGCAGCAGUGGGGAAUAUUGCACAAUGGGCGCAAGCCUGAUGCAGCCAUGCCGCGUGUAUGAAGAAGGCCUUCGGGUUGUAAAGUACUUUCAGCGGGGAGGAAGGCGAUAAGGUUAAUAACCUUGUCGAUUGACGUUACCCGCAGAAGAAGCACCGGCUAACUCCGUGCCAGCAGCCGCGGUAAUACGGAGGGUGCAAGCGUUAAUCGGAAUUACUGGGCGUAAAGCGCACGCAGGCGGUCUGUCAAGUCGGAUGUGAAAUCCCCGGGCUCAACCUGGGAACUGCAUUCGAAACUGGCAGGCUAGAGUCUUGUAGAGGGGGGUAGAAUUCCAGGUGUAGCGGUGAAAUGCGUAGAGAUCUGGAGGAAUACCGGUGGCGAAGGCGGCCCCCUGGACAAAGACUGACGCUCAGGUGCGAAAGCGUGGGGAGCAAACAGGAUUAGAAACCCUUGUAGUCCCAUG